rnacentral:rRNA from 1 species
UACGGGGGGAGCAAGCGUUGUUCGGAUUUACUGGGCGUAAAGGGCUCGUAGGCGGCCAACUAAGUCAGACGUGAAAUCCCUCGGCUUAACCGGGGAACUGCGUCUGAUACUGGAUGGCUAGAGUUUGGGAGAGGGAUGCGGAAUUCCAGGUGUAGCGGUGAAAUGCGUAGAUAUCUGGAGGAAUACCGGUGGCGAAGGCGGCAUCCUGGACCGAAACUGACGCUUAAGCGCGAAAGCGUGGGGAGCAAACAGG